UCAAAAGAAAAAAACACUGAUUAAUGACCAUAUUUCGAUAGAUAAGCUUUAUUGUAUUCUCAUAAUCAAUAGAGUAAUUUACUGUGAUUCAGAAAUUUUUCCCAAUCGAUUGAGCUUUUGAUCGUAUUGAAAGGUUUUGAUGUUUUUUUAACAGAGGUUAAUGAGAAUUGAAAUCAUGUUCCAUUAGGAUAAUAAACUGACUUACAGCACAACUAUCAAACGGUCCUGGUUAUGCGAAUUCAUGAACAUAGUUCAAUUCAUCAAGUGCUGACUGAAUGGUUUCGGGUGACAACUUCAGGACAGGUUUAGUUGCAGAGAUAUAGCAUUUUUUAUUUGGAUACCUUGGCAUUCAAUUUUCAUUAAUUUUAUUGUAACACAAAGAGUGAAAGUCGAGAAACCUUUAUGUUUUGAGCAUAUAAUUUUUUUUUCAAUUCGAAUAGAUUCUGCCCAUGAAGUGACCUUGAAACAGUAUCCUAACAGAAUGACCAAAAUGACCUCGAUAUUUUAAUAUGACAAUUGAGUAUGGCCCAAACUACCAUAACUCGAGUAUGGGGUCUCAACACUCAAAAACAAAAUAGUUAUUCGAGAAAAACUUGUUGGAAACUUGGUGAAAUGCCCUGUAGAUUCUGCCCAUGAAGUGACCUUGAAACCGUAACUUAACAGAAUGACCAGAAUGACCUUGAUAUUGAAAUAUGACAGUUGAAUAUCGCUCAAACUUCCAUAACUUGAGUCUGAGGCCUGAAUACUAUAAAAGUAAAAGUUAUUCGAGAAAAACUCGGUCGAAGCUCGGCGAAAUGCCACGUAGUAUUUCUUGUUUUGGCCUUUUUUUCUAUUCACUGUUUAACUAAUUGAUUUAUUUUUCUUUUAUUUGUAUUCCAGGAAUUCGCGGGUGAAGAUGAUAGUGACUUAUACCUCGAAGAAAGAGAAGAAGCCAUGAGAGUAACAGAAGCCGAGAAACGAAAACUUCAAAUGACAGUACCAGGAAUCAUCAAUCCUCAUGAACUACCUGAGGAAAUGCAAGAUUAGAACCAAGACUAAAUGAGAACCAAGCCUACACUUGUCCAGAUUUCGCGAACAACAAUGAAAAACAAACCUUUGUAACUAUAAUCAAAUGAUCAACAAGAAUUACUAAUCAUGUCAACAAUCAACGGUUUAAGCUGAAAUAAAACCAAAUCAACAUGAA